rnacentral:rRNA from 1 species
CAGCCGCCGCGGUAAUACGUAGGGUGCGAGCGUUAAUCGGAAUUACUGGGCGUAAAGCGUGCGCAGGCGGUUGUGCAAGACAGAUGUGAAAUCCCCGAGCUUAACUUGGGAACUGCAUUUGUGACUGCACGGCUAGAGUGUGUCAGAGGGGGGUAGAAUUCCACGUGUAGCAGUGAAAUGCGUAGAUAUGUGGAGGAAUACCGAUGGCGAAGGCAGCCCCCUGGGAUAACACUGACGCUCAUGCACGAAAGCGUGGGGAGCAAACAGGAUUAGAUACCCCCGUAGUCCCUGUCUCUUAUAA